AUUGAACGCUGGCGGCAGGCCUAACACAUGCAAGUCGAGCGGAUGAAGGGAGCUUGCUCCUGGAUUCAGCGGCGGACGGGUGAGUAAUGCCUAGGAAUCUGCCUGGUAGUGGGGGAUAACGUCCGGAAACGGGCGCUAAUACCGCAUACGUCCUGAGGGAGAAAGUGGGGGAUCUUCGGACCUCACGCUAUCAGAUGAGCCUAGGUCGGAUUAGCUACUUGGUGGGGUAAAGGCCUACCAAGGCGACGAUCCGUAACUGGUCUGAGAGGAUGAUCAGUCACACUGGAACUGAGACACGGUCCAGACUCCUACGGGAGGCAGCAGUGGGGAAUAUUGGACAAAGGGCGAAAGCCUGAUCCAGCCAUGCCGCGUGUGUGAAGAAGGUCUUCGGAUUGUAAAGCACUUUAAGUUGGGAGGAAGGGCAGUAAGUUAAUACCUUGCUGUUUUGACGUUACCAACAGAAUAAGCACCGGCUAACUUCGUG
rnacentral:rRNA from 1 species